CCCCUCUCAGGGUCACACCUGGAGAGUUUCCAGUACUCUACCAGUCUUGACUAUGGGAGGGAGAGUCAAGCCAAAGCAUAUCCAUUCCAUUCCUAGCUUGCGCAGUAGCUAUCGAGUGGAAGGUAAUCUGCUACAAGU